CAAUCCCCACGCGACCUUCUCCUGCCGCGUCCGGCGGCGCUGCUCCGCCUCCCUGGCCGCCACCGGCCCUUCUCCUCCCAAUCGGCGUCCCUCGCGCCUCUCCUCGUCCCCGCAGCCAAGAAGUAGGAAGUCAGGGCAGAUAACGGGAUCAGAAGAUGAUCAUCCCCAACUGGGUUUGGUCAUUCUCAAGCAAGCUGGACCGAAGAUCCUGUUGGAAAUCCAGGUUGAGCAUGACUGAGCCAAAGAUCAGUGAACUUCAUAUGAUAAAGAAGCGGAAAAUUCUACGAGAUAUGACAUGCCCAGAAUUCUGCAGUGGUGCUGGAAAGAAAUGAAGAUCUCAGAAUUACUUACAUUGAUGUUGUCGAGAGCAUUAGGAAUGGAAAGCCUAUCACCGAGUAUUACUUGAAGCUUGUUAAAUAUGACAUACAUGGAAAGGACAAGGAAUGAUGUUUCUAGCUAUACAACUAAAGAGGAAACACAUUAGAGAAGAUAAUGAGGUAGGUGAAUCAAAUGAUUGGAUGAUGAGCCCUGGGUAUACUAUCCAUGCACCUCUGUGCAAACACCAUCUCCUUUCACUGAGCAAAGCCAAGGUGACACCUUUUCCGACUCCUUCAAAUUUCUCCAGGUCAAAUAUUUGUGGGUGAUUACAGUUAGCAAGGGCUUCACCAAUCUGAGAGCGACAAACAUGCAAAGAUACACCCCAUGGGUAGGAGGAAGUAAAACUUCUUGUCUUCAAUCAGAAUGAGGUUCGCAGGGUACGUGCAAGACCCGCUCUUCCCCGAGAGCAUACCAGGACUGCCAUCGCAAGUUGGUGUCCCUUCUCUUCUCCACUAUCGUCUUCUAUGCCAUGGUUGUAGGCUCUCUUCUCUAUCGUCUCGUGGGCUUUCAUCAUCUCAUCGAUAUGGAAUUGGGGAUUUUAGAACAUGUCAGGCUUGACAAUUUAAUCGAUUGCAUUUUAUAAGUUUGAGGACUGAAGUGUUCCCACCAGACAAAUUUUACGUACAAAGUACUAGAAUUAUAAUUUAGUAUUUAAACUCUGUUAGUUAGUAUAUAAAUUUUACGUGCAAUACUUGCACCAAAGAGUUAUUUUCACCCGGCUAGAGGAGGCAUAGAUUCUGAAUUGUCUGGCUAUUUAUUGGCCCAGUAUACAAUUUGACUGGAGCUACGAGAAGUAUUUUUAUUAGACUUAUUCA